CAAUAGCGUAUAUUAAAGUUGUUGCAGUUAAAAAGCUCGUAGUUGGAUUUCUGGUGGGAGCGAUCGGUCUGGCGCUUAGCGCGAGUACUUGCAUCGUCUCCGGCCAUCCUUGGGGAGAGUCUGUCUGGCAUUAGGUUGUCGGGCAGAGGAUCCUCAUCGUUUACUGUGAAAAAUUAGAGUGUUCAAAGCAGGCUUAUGCCGUUGAAUAUAUUAGCAUGGAAUAAUAAGAUAGGACUUUGGUACUAUUUUGUUGGUUUGCGCACCAAAGUAAUGAUUAAUAGGGACAGUUGGGGGUAUUCGUAUUCCGUUGUCAGAGGUGAAAUUCUUGGAUUUACGGAAGACGAACUACUGCGAAAGCAUUUACCAAGGAUGUUUUCAUUAA
rnacentral:rRNA from 1 species